UUUUCCCUGCCUUGCACGACAGGGGCCUAAUUCUCCUACCCAACACCAUUGAAAACGGGAGCUGGUGUUCGUUUGUGGACGGCGCGUCCGAUCCCCGGAAUUUCCGGCAAGCAAGCGACAGGUUCCCACCUUAUGUACAUAAGGUCAGGAGAUUCGUCCCACCGGCAAGGCGGGGAUUUU
rnacentral:other from 1 species